CGGCGGAACACGAGAAAUUCCGUCGGAAUCCGGGAGGACCAUCUCCCAAGGCUAAAUACUCCCUAGUGACCGAUAGUGAACCAGUACCGUGAGGGAAAGGUGAAAAGCACCCCGGAAGGGGAGUGAAAUAGAUCCUGAAACCGUGUGCCUACAAGUAGUUAGAGCCCGUUAAUGGGUGAUAGCGUGCCUUUUGUAGAAUGAACCGGCGAGUUACGAUUGCAUGCAAGGUUAAGGUGAGAAGCCGGAGCCGCAGCGAAAGCGAGUCUGAAUAGGGCGAGUGAGUAUGUAGUUGUAGACCCGAAACCAGGUGAUCUACCCAUGUCCAGGGUGAAGGUAAGGUAACACUUACUGGAGGCCCGAACCCACGCACGUUGAAAAGUGCGGGGAUGAGGUGUGGGUAGCGGAGAAAUUCCAAUCGAACCUGGAGAUAGCUGGUUCUCUCCGAAAUAGCUUUAGGGCUAGCCUCAAGAUAGAGAAUCCUGGAGGUAGAGCACUGUUUGGACUAGGGGCCCAUCCCGGGUUACCGAAUUCAGACAAACUCCGAAUGCCAGUGAUUUAUGCUUGGGAGUCAGACUGCGAGUGAUAAGAUCCGUAGUCAAGAGGGAAACAGCCCAGACCACCAGCUAAGGUCCCCAAAUAUCCGUUAAGUGGAAAAGGAUGUGGCGUUGCUUAGACAACCAGGAUGUUGGCUUAGAAGCAGCCAUCAUUUAAAGAGUGCGUAAUAGCUCACUGGUCGAGUGACACUGCGCCGAAAAUGUACCGGGGCUAAACG
rnacentral:rRNA from 1 species